AGCAGCCGCGGUAAUUCCAGCUCCAAUAGCGUAUAUUAAAGUUGUUGCAGUUAAAAAGCUCGUAGUUGAAUUUCGGGACUAAUAUGUCGGUCGUGCCUCGGUACGCACUGGCUUAUUGGUUUCUCCUUUCUGAAGAACCAUGAUGUCAUUUAUUUGGUGUCGUGGGGAAUCAGGACUGUUACUUUGAAAAAUUAGAGUGUUUAAAGCAGGCUCACGCUUGAAUACAUUAGCAUGGAAUAAUGAAAUAGGACGUUUGAUUCUAUUUUGUUGGUUUCUAGGAUCGACGUAAUGAUUAAUAGGGAUAGUUGGGGGCAUUAGUAUUCAAUUGUCAGAGGUGAAAUUCUUGGAUUUAUUGAAGACUAACUACUGCGAAAGCAUUUGCCAAGGAUGUUUUCAUUAAUCAAGAACGAAAGUUAGGGGAUCGAAGACGAUCAGAUACCGUCGUAGUCU
rnacentral:rRNA from 1 species